AUGGUCAGCGUCACCGAAGGGCUCCGGGCGGCCGUGACCCUGCUGGAGUGCGGGGGGGACCUCCAGCCCCCCGGGGGGUCCCUGACUCUGCUCUGCCGCGCCUCCGGGUUUGAUUUUGGAAGCUCCUACAUGAGCUGGGUUCGGCAGAGCACCGGCAAGGCGCUGGAAUACCUUGGCUAUAUCAGUAGCAAUGGUGGCAACACCUACUACGCGCCGUCGGUCAAGGGCCGGUUCUCGAUCUCCAGGGACAACGGGCAGAGCUCGGUGACGCUGACCAUGAACAACCUCAAGGACGAGGAUUCUGCCGUUUAUUUCUGUGCCAAAGAUGCAAGUGGUUAUGGUGGUUGGGUUGGUGAUUUUUUUGUGGUUGAUUUUGCUCCCAUCCAUAUCACUGUGUCCCCACGCGUCCCCAAAUGUCCCCAGACCCUUUCCCCAAACCCCAACUCUCGACCCGACCCUGAGCACUGA